GAUUAACGCUGGCGGCGUGCAUAACACAUGCAAGUCGAACGAAGUGGCGGACGGGUGAGUAACGCGUGAGUAACAUGCCUUAGAGAAGGGGAAAGCCUUUGGAAACGAAGAAUAAUAACCUAUGCUCUAAGAUGGACUUGCGUCUGAUUAGUUAGUUGGUGAGGUAACGGCGCACCAAGACAGCGAUCAGUAGCCGGCUUGAGUGCGUGUACGGCCACAUUGGGAGUGAGACACGGCCCAGACUCUACGGGAGGCAGCAGUGGGGAAGUUUGCACAAUGGGGGAAACCCUGAUGCAGCGACGCCGCGUGAUUUAGAAGGCCUUCGGGUUGUAAAAAUCUUUUCUAUGGGAAGCAGUACCAUAGGAAUAAGGACCGGCUAAUUACGUGCCAGCAGCCGCGGUAAUUC
rnacentral:rRNA from 1 species